AUCCGGGGUUCAAAGAAGCCGCUUGCCCUCCACGUUCCCUCCAUUCAAUCGCGCGCCCCUAUCUCAACGCAGUCGCUGAAUAUAGGUACGUUUUCCUUCGACAUUCUUCAUAGAUAGCGCGCCGUUGGCUUACUAUUCGUCCGACUUCCACCAGAUCUAGGGCUCCUUCUCUUUGCCGAUCGGUUAACUGACUGGUUCCUGGGAGAUUAGGGGAUUGCUCACUCUGUUGUUCUUUAAUUUUCCCGGCAAGUAUAAGGAUUAAUCUCCGAUUUUAUGUUUUUUGUUCGACCUAACAACUAUCAGGACAGUAUUGGCGAAACUUAGUCUUCUCUGUAAACGAGCGGGUUGUUUCUUGUUGGGAUUGGGUGUUUGAACGUCAAUAUCCUGCCAUUGAGAUUUUAUAUACUUCUUGACCUGUUCGGGUUCAGUUGUUUUGUUGUAUUUGAGUGCCGUGGCGUAAAUUUUGAUGUUGUGGAAGCGUUGGUGGGUUGAUUUGAUUUAGUUUUUUUUUUGGAUUGGAGGUUUGAUAUUUGCAAACCUGAUAAUCGGGGGGAGUUAGGUUCGAUGGCUGAUCGUAACUUGGUGGUCGCAAAACCAAUCUGGAUGAAGCAGGCUGAAGAGGCGAAACUGAAGAGCGAGGCUGAAAAAGAUGCAGCGGCCAAAGCUGCUUUCGAAGCUACUUUUAAAGGCGUAGAUAAGAAUCCUGCAAGAGAAGCAGCAUCCUCAGAUAGUGAUUUUGAAGAUGCUGAGGACUUGGAACACAAACCCAUUGGGCCUGUAGACCCUGCUAGAUGCACAGCAGCUGGAGCCGGCAUAGCUGGGGGCACAGCAUGUGUGCCAGCUUCCUUUACUGUGGUAACUAAGGAUGUUGAUGGGAGGAAAGUUCCCCAUGGUGGUGCACAGAUUAAAGUAAAGGUGUUACCUGGGGUAGGUGUUGGUGGAACUGAGCAAGAUGGCAUUGUGAAGGAUAUGAAUGAUGGUACAUAUACGAUCACAUAUGUGGUGCCAAAAAGAGGCAAUUAUAUGGUUAAUAUUGAGUGUAACGGAAGAUCAAUCAUGGGUAGUCCAUUCCCUGUGUUCUUUAGUGCAGGGACAAGUGCUGGUGGACUCCUGGGUUUAGCUCCUGCAUCGUCAUUUCCAAAUUUGGUUAAUCAAAAUAUGCCCAACAUGCCUAAUUACUCAGGGUCUGUUUCGGGGGCAUUUCCUGGGUUGAUGGGAAUGAUUCCAGGCAUUGUAGCUGGUGCUUCUGGUGGUGCUAUCUUGCCUGGAAUUGGAGCCUCUCUUGGCGAAGUAUGUCGAGAAUACCUUAAUGGUCAAUGUGCAAAAACAGAUUGUAAGUUAAAUCAUCCACCUCACAAUUUGCUCAUGACUGCUAUAGCUGCGACAACCAGCAUGGGAACUAUCAGUCAAGUGCCUAUGGCACCUUCUGCUGCUGCUAUGGCAGCUGCUCAGGCUAUUGUUGCUGCUCAAGCCCUUCAAGCUCAUGCUGCUCAAGUGCAAGCUCAACAAGCCCAGUCUGCAAAAGACUCUUCUGGUUCAUCCGACAAAUCUGGGAAGGCUGCUGAUGCUCUGAAGAGAACGCUUCAAGUUAGCAAUCUUAGCCCACUUCUCACCGUGGAACAGCUGAAGCAACUUUUUAGUUUCUGUGGAACUGUUGUUGAGUGUACCAUUACUGAUUCAAAACAUUUUGCUUACAUAGAAUACUCAAAGCCUGAAGAAGCUACUGCUGCUUUGGCCUUGAACAAUAUGGAUGUUGGAGGUCGGCCUUUAAAUGUAGAGAUGGCAAAGUCACUUCCACAGAAACCAGCUGCAGCAAACCCUUCACUUGCUUCUUCUUCUCUGCCGAUGAUGAUGCAGCAAGCUGUAGCCAUGCAACAAAUGCAAUUCCAGCAGGCUUUGUUGAUGCAGCAAACUAUGACAGCUCAGCAGGCUGCUAAUCGUGCAGCAACUAUGAAGUCCGCAACAGAGUUGGCAGCAGCUAGAGCCGCAGAAAUAAGCAAAAAACUUAAAGUUGAUGGAAUUGUGACUGAAGAAACUGAGACAAAAGAAAAAUCAAGGUCACCUUCCUUGUCCAGGGAGAGAUCAAAAUCAAAAUCAAAAUCACCUAUCAAGUACCGUAGCAGGCGGAGAUCUCCAACUUAUUCACCUCCUUAUCGUCACUCAAGAGAUCAUAGAUCUAGAUCACCAGUGAGAUCUCGUCAUUAUUCUAGGUAUGAAGAUCAUAGGAGGGCUUAUAGAGAAGUGAGAGAUGCUAGUGAAAGAUCUAGAAGGCGAGAUCUAGAUAGAUCAAGAAGUCGUCGUUCACCCGUCUCAAGGAAAAAUAGAAGUAGAAGCAUAAGUCCUCGCAGAAGAAAAUCAUAUAGAGAAGAUUCUGAUUCUCCCAAUCACCAGCGGGAACGUUCACCACAAAGAGGUAGGAAAUCAGAUCGUUCUGAUUUAAGAUCACCUAGUCGCCAUCAUGGGAAAAGCAGAUCAUCCCCAAGAAAGGAUGAUGGUGACACACUAAAACAUAGAAGACGAUCAAGGUCUAAAUCUCUUGAGACUAAACAUCAUUCUGAUGAAAAAAUUAAUGAUAUGCGACAUGGAAAAUCAAAAACUCGGGAUAGAAGGCGGUCAAGAUCUGCUUCACUGGAAGACAAGCAUAGCAAAAGAAGAUCACCACCUAGAAGCAUGGACAAGAACAUUUCUAAACAUAGAAGGCGGUCUAGAUCAAACUCUAGGGAGGAUAUAGAUGAUACUUCAUCAAAAUAUCAUGGUAGAAGGCGAUCUCGGUCAAGUUCUUCAGAAAGUAAACAUCUCCUUGAUAGUAAUAAGGUGGAAAGCACUAGAGAUGAAAAACUAAAACAUCGUAACAGAAGGAGAUCCAGGUCAAAAUCUGUGGAUGGUAAGCACCACAGGAAGGAGAAAUCAGAUAGAAGCAGAGAUAAAAAGUUGAGGCAUCAUGAUAGAACGCCAUCUAGAUCUGUAUCUCCUGAGGCUGGGCAUCAAAGAGGGACCAGGCUGUCUCCUACCAGUUCUGAUGAAAAUAAAUCAAAACGUAGAAGGAGAUCACUCUCUCCUGAAGAUAAGCCUCAUGUUCAUGUUACUGAUAUAGAUAAUGGAUGCAUAGCUGAACAUUCAAAGCAUCACGAAAGACAGCGGUCUAGGUCAAUGUCAGGAGAAAAUGGAGAAAGUAAUUUAUCUCCAAGUACAGAGGUAAAUGAAUUUAAACAUGGAGAGCAGUCAACAAUAGAACAUGCUGGAGGGCAUGAAGCUAGUCUCUCAAAGUUUAUAGACGAUAUGCCAGGAGAUGAUCAGGAUAGAAAGGGGUUAAAUUCCCAAUAUUCUAAUGUUGAGGAACGAAGCAAAAUGGAAACAAUUGACGAUGAGCAAAGUUGAUUUAGCUGGAAGUUAGAGUUUAAUGGAGGUUGUAAUAUUUCACGUUCUCCUUGGCUGAUGCUGACCGUAGAUGCUCGAUGUCACCUUUAUACAAUUGCAAUUUCUGGUGAAUGACGUUGAGGAGAUUAAGUUGCAUUUAAAAUUUGAUAUGGAAAUGCUUUACUGUGACUCGUGAAUUACUAGAAUAGCUGACUAUUUCGGACUUGAGUACCUUGAUAACCAGGGUCAAAUUUCAUGCUCAGCAAUUUCAGCCUGGCUUGUUGACGUAUUCAAGGGCAUCAUUGCUUCAUUUGAGGAAGAGGCUACCUACAUGAUUGAAGAUUUGUUUCCAUUUCUUUGGGUUCUCAGAUUUUCAGUUUUCAUCCAUGUCUCUUGUCUUUGAUUAUCUUUUGCAGGUUAGCAGAGUCUCUUUCAGUUGAUGUUGGUAUUGCUGUCCUUUUGUCUACGAGACAAGACACCCAGUAUCUGUAGCCAGCUUCUUUUACUACUUGAUGUAUGUUUAACUAUGACCUUCCUUUACGUGGUGAAUUUUCGAUAGCACUGUCUAUUUGAACAAGGAUUGCUGCAUUAGGAAUUGAAGUUAUACGGUGUGAAUGUCAUUCGAAGUUUGUUGGGGUUGAUUUUCUCUUGUUUACACGAAGGCAAAGCUACUGUUAAAGGUCGGUUGAAACCAGAUGUUGCUGGGAUAAAUUGCAUCAAAAUUUCGUCCUUCUGGGUAUGACCAGAAUUGGCUGACUCACUUGGAAGCGUUUUUAUUCGCGGUGAAUUGCGAAUAUAUAUAUGGCAGGUAACGUUGUCUGUAACUGCUUGGUUGAAGAUAAUUAUAGGGAAAUCUAUAGGUUUGGAUUCUCUAAUAUAUAUAAGGAGCUAGAAAGUGCAUGUUGGACAAUGAGUCUAUGAUGAUGAUACUCGAUGCAUGUGGCUACAGGUUUUCUUUUCUUUGAAUGAUAAACUUCUUUUUGUAGCA